UGCUGCAGCACCGUGGAAAAAGGCUGUCGUGGAAAAACGUUUUCUUUACACUGCGAGGAAGUUUAUUCUUCCGAACAAAAGUGACUAUUUACUACUAACCAGAAAGGAUAUUUUUUCCUGUUGAGGACUUUCCCUUCAAAAGAGAGACAAAUGUGUUGACAGGUGUGAAUCCCUUUAGAAGUCAAUGAAUAGGUAAUGAAGUGGACGGGUUGUAAUUACUGCAAUGGAAAGCAGAGCAGCAGGAUGUGAACGAGGGAGGGAAAGCUCUGUCUGGCGUGAGCAGAGGGAUGGCUUCCCUGCAGUCCCAGCGAUUCCUCUGCUCCAAUUUAACAUCACAAAUUAAACCAGCGAUUCCUCUUCAUUAACCAAUUAAACAACCAAUCCUGCCAUCUACACCCGCUUCAUCAGUGUGGCUCUCCUGACAUGCCUGGAGCUAAUCACCUGGCAAUCAGAACCAUCACAUUGUAAUCCAGUGCAUGCUACAACUUAAAUCUUCCUUUAUCCCAUGUGACCUACACAGUGCAGCACUUCAAUGUUUUGAUUUGCAUAGCGACCCCAGAGUGUUAAUUACUGUCCACCCUCUGUCACCAUUAAGUUCAUGGCAUUGCCACCUGCCAGCCAUUACAGUAUAAGCAGUAUUCAUUGUACUAUUCAUCUAGCCUUGUUAAAAAAAUGACACUUUGAGAUUGGCCUUUCAAAUUGUGCUGCUGUACACAGUUUUAUUAUUGGCUUUUUGUUCCACGCGCUUGUCAUUGUGAGGGUUGAAUCCCUUUGUAAGACCCAACGGUGGAAUACACCUCCAGCUGGGAGAAUCACUUAGUAAAACAAUAGAGGACAACUUUUCAUUAUUAACAAGUAAAAUUCCACAUGCUGCAGUUCAUGAAUUAUUUAAUGUUGAGUUCCCUUACCAGGCAGAAAAAGAAAAACAACAACACCACCCUGCCUUUUCAUCACUUCUCUUUAUCACAACUUCAAAGAGAACAAACAAAACUCUCAAUCUAACAAGCACCCAACUGAGCAAAAAACAUGCCCCUCCCCACCUAAUUUCCACAGGUUUAGCAAACCAGGAGGCAGUGUGGUCUAGUGGUUAAAGAAAAGAACUUGUAACCAGGAGGUCCCUGGUUCAAAUCCUGUCUCAGCCACUAACUCAUUGUGUGGCACUGAGCAGUCAUUGAACCUCCUUGUGCACUGUCUUUCAAGUGAGAGGUUGUUGUAAGUGACUUGGCAGCUGAUGCAUAGUUCAUACACCCUAGACUCUGUAAGUUGCCUUGGAUAAAUACAUCUGCUAAAUAAACAAAAAAUAACUUUGAAGCUGGUGACCAAAGGUUUUUAGAUCAGGGAGGAGCACAUGUUGUUAUUAUAACCCAGAUGAAAAUAAUUGCCAUAACUACCCUCUAUUUCUACAUCCUCAGUUCUUAGUGGCUGACUGUGGUGCCAUCUGUAGUGCUGGGUGAGUCAUUCGAGUGAGUGAACCCUAUUGCCACCAUAUUGAACCUUGGCUGUGGGCACACAGGAAGCAUUGCAUUGACCUAUCCACUGCUCUUAUGGAGAAAACCCCAGGGUUCAGAAGCUUAGCAACA